rnacentral:tRNA from 1 species
CGCGCUCUGGGUCAGGAGGCCGACCAGCGGGUUGACGGCCGACGGCAGAUGCAGGUGGCGCAUCAGUUCGGUGUUGGACACCCCGGGGUGCGC